GAUGAACGCUGGCGGCGUGCCUAAUACAUGCCAGUCGAGCGAACAGACGAGGAGCUUGCUCCUCUGACGUUAGCGGCGGACGGGUGAGUAACACGUGGAUAACCUACCUAUAAGACUGGGCUAACUUCGGGAAACCGGAGCUAAUACCGGAUAAUAUAUUGAACCGCAUGGUUCAAUAGUGAAAGACGGUUUUCCUGUCACUUAUAGAUGGAUCCGCGCCGCAUUAGCUAGUUGGUAAGGUAACGACUUACCAACGCAACGAUGCCUAGCCGACCUGAGAGGGUGAUCGGCCAAACUGGUACUGAGACAGCGUCGAGACACCUUGAAGAGGCAACAGUAUGGAAUCUUCCGCAAUGGGCGGAAGCCUGAGGAAUCAACGCCGCGUGAGUGAUGAAGAUCUUCGGAUCGUAAAACUCUGUUAGUAGGGAGGAACAAGUGUGUAAGUAGCUAUGCACGUCUUGACGGUACCUAAUCAGAAAGCCACGGCUAACUACGUG
rnacentral:rRNA from 1 species